AUUGAACGCUGGCGGCAUGCCUUACACAUGCAAGUCGAACGGCAGCACGGGUGCUUGCACCUGGUGGCGAGUGGCGAACGGGUGAGUAAUACAUCGGAACAUGUCCUGUAGUGGGGGAUAGCCCGGCGAAAGCCGGAUUAAUACCGCAUACGAUCCAYGGAUGAAAGCGGGGGACCUUCGGGCCUCGCGCUAUAGGGUUGGCCGAUGGCUGAUUAGCUAGUUGGUGGGGUAAAGGCCUACCAAGGCGACGAUCAGUAGCUGGUCUGAGAGGACGACCAGCCACACUGGGACUGAGACACGGCCCAGACUCCUACGGGAGGCAGCAGUGGGGAAUUUUGGACAAUGGGCGAAAGCCUGAUCCAGCAAUGCCGCGUGUGUGAAGAAGGCCUUCGGGUUGUAAAGCACUUUUGUCCGGAAAGAAAUCCUUGGCUCUAAUACAGUCGGGGGAUGAC
rnacentral:rRNA from 1 species